GUAGGUGGCAAGCGUUAUCCGGAAUUAUUGGGCGUAAAGCGCGCGCAGGCGGUUUCUUAAGUCUGAUGUGAAACGCCCACGGCUCAACCGUGGAGGGUCAUUGGAAACUGGGGAACUUGAGUGCAGAAGAGAAAAGCGGAAUUCCACGUGUAGCGGUGAAAUGCGUAGAGAUGUGGAGGAACACCAGUGGCGAAGGCGGCUUUUUGGUCUGUAACUGACGCUGAGGCGCGAAAGCGUGGGGAGCAAACAGGGAUUAGAUACCCUGGUAGUCCACGCCGUAAACGAUGAGUGCUAAGUGUUAGAGGGUUUCCGCCCUUUAGUGCUGCAGCUAACGCAUUAAGCACUCCGCCUGGGGAUACGGUCGCAAGACUG
rnacentral:rRNA from 1 species